AACGAACGCUGGCGGCAGGCUUAACACAUGCAAGUCGAACGGUUGUAGCAAUACAGCAGUGGCGCACGGGUGAGUAACGCGUGGAUAUCUGCCUUGUGGUUCGGAAUAACUCCGGGAAACUGGAGCUAAUACCGGAUGGUUCCUACGGGAUAAAGCUUUAUCGCCAAAAGAUGAGUCCGCGUACGAUUAGCUAGUUGGUGGGGUAAUGGCCCACCAAGGCGACGAUCGUUAGCUCGUCUGAGAGGACGAUCAGCCACACUGGGACUGAGACACGGCCCAGACUCCUACGGGAGGCAGCAGUGGGGAAUAUUGGACAAUGGGGGCAACCCUGAUCCAGCCAUGCCGCGUGAGUGAUGAAGGCCUUCGGGUUGUAAAGCUCUUUUGGCGGGGACGAUGAUGACGGUACCCGCAGAAUAAGCCCCGGCUAACUUCGUGCCAGCCGCCGCCGUAAUAC
rnacentral:rRNA from 1 species